GCAGCGGAGCGUGUGGUUUAAUUCGAUGAUACACGAAGAACCUUACCCAGGCUUGACAUGUUGGUGGUAGGGAUCCGAAAGGUGACGACCCUUCGGGAGCCUUCACAGGUGCUGCAUGGCUGUCGUCAGCUCGUGUCGUGAGAUGUCCGGUUAAGUCCGGUAACGAGCGCAACCCUCGCUGUGUGUUAUAUGUGUCACACGGGACUGCCGGUAUCAAGCCGGAGGAAGGUGGGAUGACGUCAAGUCAGCAUGGCCUUUAUGUCUGGGGCUACACACACGCUACAAUGGCCAGUACAAUAGGUUGCAAGACCGCGAGGUGGAGCCAAUCCUUAAAGCUGGUCUCAGUUCGGAUUGCAGGCUGCAACUCGCCUGCCAUGAAGUCGGAGUUGCUAGUAACCGCGCGUCAGCCAUAGUGCGGUGAAUACGUUCCCGGGCCUU
rnacentral:rRNA from 1 species